UCGAGAAUCUUCCGCAAUGGGGGAAACCCUGACGGAGCGACGCCGCGUGCGGGAUGAAGGCCUUCGGGUUGUAAACCGCUGUCACAGGUUAAGAAAAGUCUGGCGUUAACAGCGCUAGGCUUUGACAAAGGCCUGAGAGGAAGCCACGGCUAACUUCGUGCCAGCAGCCGCGGUAAGACGAAGGUGGCGACCGUUGUUCGGAAUCACUGGGCAUAAAGAGCACGUAGGCGGCAAAGUAAGUCGGGUGUGAAAUCCCUCGGCCCAACCGAGGAACUGCGCCCGAAACUACCUUGCUUGAGGAUGGAAGGGGAGCGUGGAAUUCCUGGUGGAGCGGUGAAAUGCGUUGAUAUCAGGAGGAACACCGGCGGCGAAGGCGACGCUCUGGUCCAUUUCUGACGCUGAGGUGCGAAAGCCAGGGGAGCAAACGGGAUUAGAUACCCGUGUAGUCC
rnacentral:rRNA from 1 species